GCACUUCUCCUUUCGGCAGCUACAGUCACCUCUGCCUGUUACACCUCCGCCUGUGUCUCCUCCCAAGUCACCCCCGACUGUGAGACCCUUUGCUACCACCGUGGUUGUGAAGGGAGAGGUUUCACGUCCACGUCCCCUUGACCCCUUCAAGGAAACUGUCGUCGGACGUCGCGGAAAGCGCAGCCAACCUGAGUCCUGGGAUGCGCCUGAGGACUGGGAUCAGUCUUCCGUGCGGAUCCUUCCUCAUGAGGUUUGUGUGCCUCCUCUGGUCCUGAGGGAGUGCUUUGUCGUGCUAAACCCUAUCCGGUUUAGCACUGACAAGUUGGCUGCAAUGGAUCGCAUUGUUCCAUCCAACCUUGACGUCCCCAUGGGGAAUCGCUCAAAGAAACGGAAGGUGGCACAUGGAACCACGGCUGUGGUCUCCAAAGGAAAGAAGGCCCGCCUUGAGGCACUUCUAACUCCAGCAAGGAUUGCCAAACCUUCGAAGCUGGUACCUCCCCCUCGACCUGUUCCAGAAGCUGCUGUACCAGCUACUCUGGAGGGCGUACCUCCUCCUCGACCUGUUCCAGAAGCUGCUGUGCCAGCCACUCUGGAGGGCAGCGUCUUUGUGCCUUCGAGCAAGUUUGCUCAACCGGAGGGGGAUGACAAGACUCUGUGUGUUGAUGAGUGGCCGUUUCUUCAAACAGAGUUUUGUGAGAAGGUGAACCAGCCAACUGCUCGCGUUGUCUCUGGACAGAGAAAACAAGAGGAGCCAACACCUUGGGGGCCAAAAGUUGUGAUGGCCCAGGCUGAUAAACCAACAGCCAAUGAGACCAGCUUCUUGGGAUGUUCAACCAAGAUGACACACAUUGAGGACCAUGAGCCGUUUGAACCAGCACCUGAGGUCACUGCGAGCAGUCAGCAGCAGAGCCCGCCUGAGGACAAUGGCCAGCUUGAAGAUCGUCAUGUAACACUUGGCAAUCAGAAGGCACCCUGUGAUUUUGCACCUGCCAGAGCUGCUACAUCAAGUCAUGUGACUUAUGACAACCCUGGGUGUGUUCAAGGAUCGUUUGACCAGAGCAGCAACAUAUUCGGGGAAAAUGCAGGUAAGCAGUGUGCUACAAAUGGCAUAGCGGCGAUUAUGACCCACACCACCCAUAGCGUUCUCAAAUGGAAAAAAAAAACCAUUCAUCAUAUUCUAAAACAAGGUAAUGGCUUGUACACAUCUAUGCUAGAAAAUAAGGAAAUCAGUGCAGCCAAAACCAGUGGGCAUAUUUUCAUUUCCGAGUUACCCAGACACUGCAAAUUAAACAAUAAAUCAUUUAGUUUGGAAUACUUUGAUACACUCACUGGAAGUCUUGAUCAAAAGGAUGAUUAUGACGCUUCUUUGCAAAAUAUAGCCAUGCCUUUAGAAGAGGCUAUUCAGAAGACACUGCUGCAGACAGACACAUGCUUGCUCAACAUCAAAGAAAGUGUCUGUGCCGUUUUCAAGGUCGAAACUGCUUUUGCAGUUUUCGAUCCUCAUUCUCGUAGUACUUGGGGUUCAGUUGCACCGGAUGGAACCAGCAUAGUAGCGCACUAUGCUACUGUGCAUGAGUUAUAUGAGCAUAUUGAGAACCUGGUCAAUUCCUUAUAUCAAAAUCAUCCACAUGCUUUUGAUAUCCCGAACAAGGUGUUUGAAGUCACUGGUGUGAAAGCUGUUGAGGUAAACUCACCAUUUACUGCUUUAACUGCACAGCCUGAAGCCAGCACUUCGGCACAUGACGGUACUUUGGAAACUGACAGUGACUCUGAUCUCUGUGUCCUUUCGGUAACAGAUAGAAAUUCCCUUGCAGUAAACACGUCUUUUUCCCUUGAAACUGUGCAGCCUGUAGCAAACACUUCUACAUGUGACACAACUGUAAACAUUGACAGUGGUCCUCCAAUUCACACAGAGGGUGCAUCAGAUGUCUGUUUAAUUUCUGUGACAGAUAGCCCCAAUAUAAUGUUUACUGGAUUGACAUUAAGGGAAAAAAAACAGGAUCUGCAACAAGCUGAAUAUCGUACCAAGUUUAGAUCAAAAUAUUGUUGUACAAACCUUCGAUAUGGCACAGCCUGAACCAUGCCAAACAACAUCCAUUGAAGGUGACGGUAAUUGUUUCUUUCGUUCUCUUUCGUCUGUAUUGAGUGGUUGCGAGUCACAUCACAAGGCCUUUCGAAAGGCUGUAGUGAAUCACAUCUCAAAUAAUCCGCUUCAUUACAUUACUUGUCUAAGACGGCAAUUUGCUUCUUUGGAGCAAUAUCUCCGGGACUCAAAAAUGAAAUAUGUUGGAUCUUGGGCAACAGAGUUGGAAAUACAAGCUUCUGCAGAUUUGCUCUGUGUUGAUAUUUACACAUACACUCAACAAAAAUGGAUUACGUUUACGGCGAACAUUGAGCCGAUUUCAAGAAAAGCUAUAUAUCUGAAUCACUGCAAUGAAUGCCAUUAUGAACCAAUUGCAUGUGUCAAAGGAAAAACCUCUCAUACAUGCUAUAGCUUAACUAGCUUCUGUGAAAUGUCGCACAAAAUGUCCAAUGCAAACCUUGUUUCACCACGUAAAAAAUGUAGUGAUAAAGUAAAAGAUCUAAGAAAAAAGAAAACAUAUGCUGAAGACACAGAAUAUAGGCAAGUUAUAAAGCUAAAAACACAACAAAGAUAUAAUUGUGAUACACAGUAUCAAGCAAAUCAGAAAACCAGCAGUAUCGAAAAAUAUGCUAAUAAUGAACUGUUCAAAGAACAAGUAAAAAACAGCAGUAUUGAAAAAUAUGCUAAUAAUGAAACGUACAAAGAACAAGUAAAAAAAACGCAGUUUUGAAAAGUAUGCUAAUAAUGAACCAUUCAAACAACAGGUACUAAACAGCGGUAUCGAAAAAUAUGCAAACAAUCCUGCCUAUCGUAACCAGGUAAUACAAAGUAUUGUUAUCAAAUAUACAGAGAAGAUCCGGCUUAUAAGCCCUCUGUAAUUGAAAGAAACUGUCAAAGGAGACUUAAUCUAACCCUCUUAAAACACAAUAUUGACUUUGUAAUUGCGCUCUUCCAAGAAGAGGUCAAACAUGGACCAGAACAUGUUUGUUGUGUAUGUCACAGAUUAUUGUUCCGUAAGCAAGUUCGAUUAUGUGACAUAACUUCAUAUGAAUCCAAGGCUUCAACUGUGUCAGCAAUUGCAAAACAAUGCAUUACUACAACAUAUCUCCAUCAAUGUGAUAACGCAUGUUUAACGCCAUGCACACUAAAACAGACAGUUGCUGGGAAAUUGUGGAUAUGUUUCAGUUGCAACUCCAAGUUACUCAGUGGUAAGGUUCCCCAGGAGAGUGCUGUGAACAAUAUGGCAUUAGAUCCAAUUC
ensembl:lncRNA